rnacentral:SRP_RNA from 3 species
UCUCGGGGGCGGGGCGGCGCCAUGUUUCGAACCUGGUCAGGUCCGGGAGGAAGCAGCCAUAAGAGACCGCUGGCGAGCGCCCCGUCCCUGCGAGCA